AUUGAACGCUGGCGGCAGGCCUAACACAUGCAAGUCGAGCGAGCGGCGGACGGGUGAGUAAUGUCUGGGAAACUGCCUGAUGGAGGGGGAUAACUACUGGAAACGGUAGCUAAUACCGCAUACCAUCAGAUGUGCCCAGAUGGGAUUAGCUAGUAGGUGGGGUAACGGCUCACCUAGGCGACGAUGCCUAGCUGGCCUGAGAGGAUGACCAGCCACACUGGAACUGGGACACGGUCCAGACUCCGACGGGAGGCAGCAGUGGGGAAUAUUGCGCAAUGGGCGCAAGCCUGAUGCAGCCACGCCGCGUGUGUGAAGAAGGCCUUCGGGUUGUAAAGCACUUUCAGCGGGGAGGCGUUACCCGAACAAGAAGCAACGGCUAACUCCGUGCCAGCAGCCGCGGUAAUUC
rnacentral:rRNA from 1 species